AGGGCUGAGGGGUUCAGGGGAAACUGAGGCAGGGACUGGAGGGGUGUCUCCUGGCCUUGGAGCAGCCCCGCCCCCUCUGCGGGUCCUGCAGUGGUUACUGCCACCAAAGGGUUAACGCGGGGCGGGGCGGGGCGGCAGCAGGAGUGACUCCCACCUGAGGGUCUCUGAUGUCACCUGGUGAAAGGAGCCAGGGCAGCUGCGGGCCCCGCAGACCGGACACUGUGGUGCGGCACCGUGUGUGAGCGUAGGGGAGCGAGAGCCCAGGCCCUGGUGCGGGGAGGCCUGUCCUGGUGGCUGUGCUGGAGCCCGUGGCAGCCGUGGCCCUUCCCUUGGCAGCCCUGCUGCAGCCUGAGAUGUACAAGACACUUAAUCUUCAUAUUGUUCUGCUUGGAACUGAGACGUGGACAGAAGUGGACAUUUACUCAUUGGCUGGACCAUGCUUUUCACUUUUUUACUCCAUGGACUAGAUAGUUCCUUAAACCCUGCAUACACUUUGACCAUGCACAAUUACUCCUGUAAGAGGCAGACACUAUCGAGGCACGCUAGGACUGGUGACACAAGGAACUGUAUGCAACACAGACGCCUCAACAUCUAUUAUUAGGGGCCCUGAAUAGGCGUGAAGUUCCCAACCCUGGAAAGAUGCACUUAAUGGCUUUUGCCUGGAAAUGCAAGCCCUGGAUACUGCCUGGUCCCAGGUCGAGAAGCAGAUGCAUUUGUUGGGUGUUCCUGAAAACCAAGCGCUCUGAGCCCUCCGUGCAGGAGCUGCCCAUAGUAGUGAAGCUCACAGAGUGCUCAGUAUUACUGAGUGUCUGCUGCAUGCAGGGAGUGUGUGUGGCGUAUAUGGAGGUGAUGGCAUGAUGGCUCAAAUGAAGUCUUACUCUUGUAUAUU